AACGAACGCUGGCGGCAGGCUUAACACAUGCAAGUCGAACGCCCCGCCCGGGGAGUUGCAGGCUGGUGAGUAACGCGUGGGAACAUACCCUUUUCUACGGAAUAGCUCUGGGAAACUGGAAUUAAUACCGUAUACGCCCUACGGGGGAAAGAUUUAUCGGGGUAGGUUUGGCCCGCGGUGGAUUUGCUAGUGGGUGGGGUAAAGGCAUACCAAGGCGACGAUUCAUGGCUGGGAUGAGAGGAGGAUCAGCCAGAUUGGGACUGAGACACGGCCCAAACUCGUACGGGAGGGAGCAGUGGGGAAUACAGGAGGAUGGGCGCAAGCGUGAUCAAGCCAUGCCGCGUGAGUGGGGAAGGGCGUAGGGUAGUGAAGCCCUUUCACCGAUGAAGAUAAUGACGGUAGUCGGAGAAGAAGCCCCGGCUAACUUCGUG
rnacentral:rRNA from 1 species